AUGCAGGAAUCAUGCCACUGACUCUGAAGCCAUGGCUUUUACAUUAAGGUCUGCCAUCCCUGCCACAGUCCAUGAAUCCUUUAUCAUCUACAAGGAAGAUGAUUCACUUUGAAAAGCUUUUUCUGAUAGAGACCAGUGUGCUGUAUCAUCUUUGGAGAAAUGCCUAUUUAUUUAGAUAUUUAGAUGUGUUAUUCAGUUCAGAUGCUUAAGCUGCCAUACACAUUGAGGUGGGAGAGAGAAAUGAGUCAGCAGCCCGGAUGGAGAUCUCCAAGAGUCUGUAUGUGCUAAACACCAGGAUCUCACACUCUUCAAGAAGGCCACAAUUUUAGGAUCUUAAGGGACCAACAGAUGUAUGUGACCACCUGCUGCAGACGAAGGAAUAGUGCAAAUUAUUGCUUAAUCUUCAGGACAAUUUUGGAUACAGCAUGCAGAUUUUUCCUUCAGAGCAGGCCUUGAAAAUAAAGAGCCCACAUCACCCUCCAUGCUUUAUUUCCCAUCAAGUGCAUGAAGAAAAUUUUCUGACUAUGGGAUAUUGGUAAGUGAACAGAUCUAUGCAUACAUCAGUAUGCCAUUAGGACUCAAUGUAUCUGUAGCUUAAUGAAAGAAAUAUGUUUUACACAAAUAUGUGACCAUUCUAGUCUCAGAUUCUUGGACAUUUUAUCGGUGUGGGAUAUUUCUUCAAUCCAGUAGUGUUAAUCAUAAUUUAAAAGUAGUUGGUUUAUACUGCCAUUAUAGUUAAGCCACUCUGUCAGCAAGAUGUCUGAAGACUGCCCACUAUAUUUUAAUUUAGGAAGUGUAGGUAAAGAUGGUGAGAAUUUUUGUUCAUUCUAUACAUUUGAAGAUAGAGGUUUCUGUCCCUGCCAGGUUCCACAGCAGCAUUGAACCAAAUAAACACAGAAAGACUUAUAUUAAGUAGAAGACAUGUGGCCUCAGGCUCAAGCUUCUUGUUUCCUAGCUCUGCCUUAAUUGUUAACCCAUUUCUAUUAUUCUGUGCAUUACCACAGCCUGUGGCUUACCCAUAAUAUGUCAUGUUAACUCCUUCAGCUGCAUGGUGUCUGUUAGAAACCUCUCUCUGCCUUCCUCUCUCUCCAGGAUCUCCUGAUAUCUUACCCCUGACUAUGCUUCAUGCCUGGCUGCUGGCCAAUCAUUUUUAAUUGUAUAAAAGAAUGUAUAAAAGAAACAUAUGUACCGAAGGACAUCCCCUAUCAAACUUUCAUCAUAUGUAGUUAAUUGGACAGAAUUUUCUGAGUGCCAGAUGUAUUUAUGUUCUAUGGUAAAACAAUUAAGGAGGAUAUUCAAAGAUAAGUUCUUCUAAUUGCAUUGGCUAGUAUAACCAUGUUUGGAUAUAUUCUGAGACUAUAGGAAACCCAAUAGCCAACAAGUAAAUCAAAUAA